CCAACCACCAUCAGUCUUAGAGAAACCCAUGCGAUGUAGUGUGUGGCGGUUGAUGGUGUCGGAAUGAGAUAGUCUAGCAACUGCCUCCCCCUUAAAACUAAUUUCGAACCUUCUAAAAACUAAGGUGAGUGUCAUACCAAAAGGCAAGUGAGUCUUGGAUCUGUUCAGGAUCUCUCUCAUGGCCUCAAACAUCAAUGCAAGAAGGUUCAGGGGGGUCUGUGUGAUCACAUGGUACAUAAUACAAAUAUCCCUGC
rnacentral:lncRNA from 1 species